rnacentral:rRNA from 1 species
AGUGAACGCUGGCGGUAGGCCUAACACAUGCAAGUCGAACGGCCGCACAGUAAGAGCUUGCCCUUAAGGGUGGCGAGUGGCGGACGGGUGAGGAAUACAUCGGAAUCUACUUUUUCGUGGGGGAUAACGUAGGGACACUUACGCUAAUAGCGCAUACGUCCUACGGGUGAAAGCAGGGGAUAUUCGGACCUUGCGCGACUGAAUGAGCCGAUGUCGGAUUAGCUAGUUGGCUGGGUAAAGGCCCACCAAGGCGACGAUCCGUAGCAGAUCUGAGAGGAUGAUCAGCCACACUGGAACUGAGACACGGUCCAGACUCCUACGGGAGGCAGCAGUGGGGAAUAUUGCACAAUGGGCGCAAGCCUGAUCCAGCCAUACCGCGUGAGUGAAGAAGGCCUUCGGGUUGUAAAACCCUUUUGUUGGGAAAGAAAAGCAGCAGGUUAAUACCCCGCUGUUCUGACGGUACCCAAAGAAUAAGCACCGGCUAACUUCGUG